rnacentral:misc_RNA from 1 species
GAAGUAAAGUCGUAACAGGUUUCCGUAGGUGAACCUGCGGAAGGAUCAUUAAUAAAUGGCUCGAUUUUAGAGCAUUAAUAAUCAUCCUACCCUUUGUGAUUUGUUGUUUGAAAUAAUUUUUUUUAAAAUUAUUGAUGUCUUUCCCUGUUGAAUUGGUUGGUCGUAAGACUAAGUGAUUCUCAGGGGAUAGUCAAUAAUUUUUAAAAAGACCUUUUUUUAAAUUAAACUUUUUGUAUUCAUUUGUCUAAAUAUUUUUAUAAUAUAAAAACAACUUUUGACAAUGGAUCUCUUGGUUCUCGCAACGAUGAAGAACGCAGCAAAAUGCGAUAAGUAGUGUGAAUUGCAGAAUACGUGAAUCAUCGAUCUUCGAACGCAUAUUGCACUUUUUUAGUUUACUAGAAAAGUAUGUCUGUUUGAGUAUCAGUAAAAUAUUCUCAUAAAACUUUUUUUUUAUGGUUAUGAGUGUUUUACAACGAUACAAGUUGUUUCACUUUAAAUUUUUUUAAAAUUGAAUUUUUCUAUUUUAAUAUAAAAUUGGAUAAAAUUUUCCGUAAAAGGAAUAACCUAAACAUUUUUACUAUUUAGAAGCAAAAUCAAAAAGGAAAUUUAUAAAAAUAACUUGAUCUCAAAUCAGAUAAGAGUACCGCUGAACUUAAGCAUAUCAAUAAGCGGAGGAAAAGAAACUAACAAGGAUUCCCUUAGUAACGGCGAGUGAAGCGGAAGAGCUCAAAUUUGAAAUCUUCAGGUUUACCUUGACGAAUUGUAGUUUAAAGAGUGUUUUCUGUUGAGUUUGGUAAAGUUUUUGGAAUAGGACAUCAUAGAGGGUGAGAAUCCCGUAUUUGACCAUUAUUUUCAGCUGUGUGAUACACUUUCAAAGAGUCGGAUUGUUUGGGAAUGCAGUCCAAAAUGGGUGGUAAAUUUCAUCUAAAGCUAAAUAUGGCGAGAGACCGAUAGCGACAAGUACGUGAGGGAAAGAUGAAAAGAACUUUGAAAGAGAGUUAAACAGUACGUGAAAUUGUCAAAGGGAAGCGUUUGACACCAGUGUUGUUUUCUCGAAAAUCAAUUAAAAGGUGAUUUGUGUGUAUUGACCUUAACAGCUUUCUUACUUUUUCUGCUUUUUAAUGCACUUUUCGUUAACAAGUCAACAUCAGUUUCUUUUGUUGUAAAAGGUCAUUGGAAGGUGGCUUCUUUUCGGAGAAAGUGUUUAUAGCCUUUGAUCUCUGCAAUCGGAGAGCUGAGGUCUGCAGCGUAGAUCUUCGGUUAGAUACAUUUGUGCUAAGUUAUAGCUUUUAUA